rnacentral:rRNA from 1 species
AUGCACGCUGGCGGCGUGCCUAAUACAUGCAAGUCGAGCGAACAGAUGAGGAGCUUGCUCCUCUGACGUUAGCGGCGGACGGGUGAGUAACACGUGGAUAACCUACCUAUAAGACUGGGAUAACUUCGGGAAACCGGAGCUAAUACCGGACAAUAUAUUGAACCGCAUGGUUCAAUAGUGAAAGACGGUUUUGCUGUCACUUAUAGAUGGAUCCGCGCCGCAUUAGCUAGUUGGUAAGGUAACGGCUUACCAAGGCAACGAUGCGUAGCCGACCUGAGAGGGUGAUCGGCCACACUGGAACUGAGACACGGUCCAGACUCCUACGGGAGGCAGCAGUAGGGAAUCUUCCGCAAUGGGCGAAAGCCUGACGGAGCAACGCCGCGUGAGUGAUGAAGGUCUUCGGAUCGUAAAACUCUGUUAUUAGGGAAGAACAAAUGUGUAAGUAACUAUGCACGUCUUGACGGUACCUAAUCAGAAAGCCACGGCUAACUACGUG